rfam:Triticum aestivum genome assembly, contig: Triticum_aestivum_CS42_TGACv1_scaffold_131947_2BL
CAAAUACUUCCUCUAUCCGGAAAUACUUGUCUUCAAAAUGGGAAAAAGGAAAUGUAUCUAGACGUAUUUUAGUCUUAGAUACAUCUCUUUUUAUCCAUUUUGAUGACAAGUAUUUUCAGACGGAUGGAGUAAAAA